rnacentral:rRNA from 1 species
ACGGAGGGUGCAAGCGUUAUCCGGAUUCACUGGGUUUAAAGGGUGCGUAGGUGGCUUUGUAAGUCAGUGGUGAAAUCUCGGAGCUUAACUCCGAAACUGCCAUUGAUACUGCUUAGCUUGAAUCAGGUAGAGGUGGAUGGAAUAUUACAUGUAGCGGUGAAAUGCUUAGAUAUGUAAUAGAACACCGAUUGCGAAGGCAGUUCACUAUGCCUGCAUUGACACUGAGGCACGAAAGCGUGGGGAUCAAACAGGA